AUACGGAGGGUGCAAGCGUUGUUCGGAAUCACUGGGCGUAAAGGGCGCGCAGGCGGUUUGGUAAGUCAGAUGUGAAAGCCCACGGCUCAACCGUGGAAGUGCAUUUGAAACUGUCAGACUUGAGUACUAGAGGGGAAAGUGGAAUUCCCGGUGUAGAGGUGAAAUUCGUAGAAAUCGGGAGGAAUACCGGUGGCGAAGGCGACUUUCUGGCUAGAUACUGACGCUGAGGCGCGAAAGCGUGGGGAGCAAACAGGAUUAGAUACCCUAGUAGUCC
rnacentral:rRNA from 1 species